rnacentral:rRNA from 1 species
UACAGAGGGUGCGAGCGUUAAUCGGAAUUACUGGGCGUAAAGCGCGCGUAGGCGGCUUUGCAAGUCGGGUGUGAAAUCCCCAGGCUUAACCUGGGAACUGCAUUCGAGACUGCAUUGCUAGAGUAUGGGAGAGGGAAGUGGAAUUUCCGGUGUAGCGGUGAAAUGCGUAGAUAUCGGGAGGAACACCAGUGGCGAAGGCGGCUCACUGGACCGGUACUGACGCUGAUGCGCGAAAGCGUGGGGAGCAAACGGG